GUCUUCGUAGUGUAAUGGUCAGCACACUCGGCGCGUAUUCGAGAGGUCCGUGGUUCGAUUCCCGGCGAGGGCA
rnacentral:tRNA from 1 species